rnacentral:lncRNA from 1 species
GAGAGGAAGCAGAGAUCGGGAGAUGAAAUGGUUGAAACUUAGAUUUGGAACGAGGUUACCUUAAGGAGCAAGAUGUAGUUGAAACGAGAAAUGGAAUCUCGCGAAGCAGUGAAAGGCAGAGGACGCGAAGGACUACGGUUCUGUGAAGAGAAAUAUAAUGCGUGUCUGAUGUGCGAGAAGAAGAGCGAAUGAUGUGGAAUAAAGGAGCUGACGCGUGGCUGAAACUGAAUAGCGCCGCUGGUCUGAAACAGGUUGGUGAUAAGAUGAUGCGUGGAGAAAAGAUAAAGCACAAAGGAUAUAAUGGAGAAAAUGAAAAUGGAGGGAGAUGUGCUUGGAAAGUGGCUAGAGGGAGUCUUUGGACUCUCUAGCCUAUGACUUUCAAGAGAGAAUUAAUUCUGGGUUUCAGAAAUCUAAUUCUCAUUAAUCUCAAAAGUGAAUAAUACAAGUGACGAGCUGGGUAUUUUAUAGUGACCCAUGCUCCUUGCAAGCUACAGUACAGAUACAAUAACAUGUAAAAAGAGGACUACAUGAGACAGGAUUCCAUCA